rnacentral:sRNA from 1 species
GGGUGUCCCCUUCCUCCCUCACCGCUCCAUGUGCGUCCCUCCCGAAGCUGCGCGCUCGGUCGAAGAGGACGACCAUCCCCGAUAGAGGAGGACCGUUCUUCGGUCAAGGGUAUACGAGUAGCUGCGCUCCCCUGCUAGAACCUCCAAACAAGCUCUCAAAUUUUGUGUUUUUAAUGAAGACGCCAGGUGGUGCAGUUCAGACAUAAACCUGGGCACAAUGUGUUGUGGAAGUUCCCUCAGCA